GGAACUUCCCCUUCUGGUUCUGCAUCAAGACAGCCUCGUUGAAACACCAACUAGCUUCAUCGGACAUAUUCACCAUGAUAUGGCAGCUCUGUCAGCACUGAGGUCUCAAAUAUGUACAGGGAGAAGAUGAUCUUCCUCAUCCUGCUGCUCCUCUUCCUCACCCCCUGUGUCUCUGGAACAUUUUUAGUGAAUGUGACUCAGAGUUCCUAUCAGGCAGAGGGGAACCAGGACAUCACCCUGGAGUGGACCUUCAGCUCCAGAACAGACACUAACUUCAGAUCAAUUUCUAUCUACCGUGAGAUGUCUACUGAGAGCAGACCCUACGUCCUGUUUCAUCUACACAAAGGUGAUUAACUCCCAGAGUCUCAGGAUCCACAGUUUGCAGGACGAGUCCAGUGGGACAAAGACGUCCUCCCAGAAGGACGCCUCACACUUCAUGUCUCCAGACUCAGGACCAGUGACUCUGGGUUUUAUGUGUGUGCCAUACGCACACCUGAUGGGAGUAACUCUAGGAGAUGCUGGCUCAACGUCACUGCCAUGACGAUGGAAGUGACCAUUCUUGAGACUUCUGAAGGCUCCUUUAUAUGUGAGACUGAAGCAAAUCCACCUGCAAACUUCGCCUGGAGCAGAAACGACCUCCUGUGGCCGCAGUCUGCUGUCAGAGAGGGUGCAGUGCUACGGUUCAAGGACAUGACCUCUGACCUUAAUGGCCUCUACGAGUGUGAAGCAUCCAACCAACAUGGAAGUAAACAACAACAGCACUACAGUAUGUGUAUGUGGCUUCAGGAAACGGCACUAUUUGUUGGGUCUUAUUCAGCCUUUUGUUCAUCCCGAGUGUCGCUGCUGUGGCUGCAGCAGGGUACCUUUAUAAAUCUGGAAGGAUUCAAUGGAGAGGCAGUCGGUCCCAACAAAUUCACCUCCACCUGAAGAGGGGCGAGUUUUACAAGAAUCACAUCUGUUGGUGAUAUCCACCUUUUGCCCUUUGUUAACUCAUCAAAAAAAUAAAUGACUUAAAAACAAA